AACGCAUAUUGCGCUCUCUGGUAUUCCGGAGAGCAUGCCUGUUUGAGGGUAAUUAAAUAAAUCUUUGACUAUUUUUUUAGUCAAGGGAUAUUGGGUUCUCCGCACUUUGUAGCGGUAGCCUGAAAUAUAAGGUUAGUCUCAUUUUGUUGAGAUGCGUAAUAAUAUUUAUUUCGCGAAAAAUCAUCAAUGAGAUUCUACCAAGUUUUGACGCGGACAGUCUAAGCUGAAUGCGAUUAAUACAAAAAUUUUUUGAACAUUACCUCAAAUCAGGUAGGAAUACCCGCUGAACUUAA
rnacentral:misc_RNA from 1 species